rnacentral:rRNA from 1 species
CGCGUAGGUGGUAGUGUAAGUCUGGGGUGGAAUGCCGGGGCUUAACCCUGGAAUUGCCUUGGAAACUGCAUUACUUGAGUCAGUGAGGGGAGGGUAGAAUUCCUGGUGUAGCGGUGAAAUGCGUAGAUAUCAGGAGGAAGGCCUGUGGCGAAGGCGGCCCUCUGGUGCUGGACUGACACUGAGGCGCGAAAGCGUGGGGAGCAAACAGGAUUAGAUACCCUGGUAGUCCACGCCCUAAACAGUGGGCACUAGGUGUAGGGCUCGUAAGGGUUCUGUGCCGAAGGGAAACCAUUAAGUGCCCCGCCUGGGGAGUACGGCCGCAAGGUUGAA